GAGAACCUAAGAGAACAAGACCUAAAACCUUAAUAGUCAUUGCUGCCAAUAUCCAUCUUCUUCGACCUUAGAGUAACCCUACCCAAAAAACACCAUAGUCGAACCAAGAACUCACUGUCGCCGACCAACUGACCCCAACCAACUUCCCCCACACCUGGAACACUUGCCUCCUCCUCCAGAACAAUCACCUUCCGUCGACCACUCUCGUCUGCAGACAACAACUAGCUGCUCCCUCACCAUCAGACUCGCCGGAAAACAGAAACUCCCAUCAGAUCGAGUGUGCACGUCCGUAGAUAGGACAUGUGAAUAAAACUUAUAACUGAUAUUCGCUCAGUUCGAGUUCAGUUCAGUUCGGAUCGAGUUUCGUUCGCGGGUUUGGAUUCAUCUCAUUGUCGUCUUCUCCAUUCAGAUUUUUACUUUUACGAAGUUGUUUCAAUUAUUGUAUAUUAAAGAACACCUUCUUAACAGGUUCAUUUCUGUUCUCCAUGACUCUUUUAAUUUCAGUUAGAUUUAAUCUUCUUUUAUUACUUGUGUUUUGCCUCACUGUCGUGUCUAGAUAUCUUAGUUUCGAAUCUGUUUGGUUUGCACACAAUGUUUUAAUCAUUGUUGGUAACAGAUUUUGCCUUUUCCUUUUUAGAUCCAGUAGACUAGAAUAUUUGAUUGAACUGUUCGCAAUAGGCAACUUGUAAAUUCUUGAAUUUGGCAUGUAAGUUGAAUGGAACAGUAGAUAGACGUAGGAAGGCAACAAUGAUUAAAUGGGAUUGGACCAUGGGAGUUUGAACAAGAUUAAGAGAAAUAGGUUUCGGAGAAUUAAACAGUAGUUGUCAUGUUUUUUUUUAUUUCGUUAUUACUAGAUACCCCUUUUAUCGCUAGUAGCAUGUAUUAGGCCGCUCACACGUGGGUAGGCAAGCUUUAGGAUUUAGUUAGUUUUAAGGCAAGAAGUUUUCCUUAGUUGAAUUUAUCCAGGAAAUUCCCCGUGAAGUUUGUAAAUGUUAUUAUCCGGGGUAUGCCUGGAAGAACUAUCUAAAUAUUUUAGAGGCCUUGACGAGCAUGGUGGAGAAGUCGUAGUAUAGGCUAGCUUAGGAUUUUUCUUUUCUUUUCCUUUUCGUUUUCUUUCAAUUAGGUGGGGAUGACCUCGAGCCUUUUUGAUCUUUUAUUUUCUUUUGUGUGUGUUUUAUUUAUUUUACCUCAAUUUGAAUUUUUUUUAUAGUCAACUAGAUCAAGUACGCAAUCGUACUACCUACGGGACUUGGGGAAUGCCCAACACCUUCUCCCCGAGUCAAAUGAAUCCCCUUACCCGAAUCUCUGGUAUAGACUUAGUUUUAGAGUCUCAAGUGUUUUGAAAGGAAAAAAAUUAGUUUUAGAAAAAACGGUGACCUGGCACACCGAAAUCAAAUGCCAGGUGGCGCUGAGUUAUUUCCUUUUGAAAAAAAUUGGUCACUUUUCAAUUGAAAAACCCUUUUAGAGCCUUACUAUAUCUUUUUAUUUAUUUAAGAGGAUUUAGUGAAGGUUUGUAUGAAAAAAGGGUUGUGACAAGUUGUAUGAAGAUGGAAAACAUAUUCUAGACUAAAUAGAGGAGCUAAAACGAGAAUACCAAUCAUUAGAUCAUACUUUUCUUUAGGAUGUCCAUGUUAAGAAGAGUAUUCUAGAGUUAUGUGAGGAAGUAGAUAAUAUUGCUUUAGAAGAAUCAAGUGUUUGUAUAAAUGGGGAUGUAAGUAGUAGUAAAAUUCACGAGUUAUAGCGCAUUAGACCUCAUUCGAAACAUUUUUCACAUUGUGUUUAGAUAGAUAGAUAGUAAUCGAGCCAUCUAACCCUAUACGGAAGUCAAAUAGUGAGAAUGAAAGUGCCUAUAUUCUUAAUUUGUUGAGCAAAAAAAUAAAAAUUACAUUCCUCAUCCAAAGGCCGAUAAGUUUCGAGUGAAAAAUUUAUUACUUGGCUUGGUUAUCUUCAUAGCCCCACCAGAGGAGCAUAGCCACAUAAUAGAUGCCUUGUUAGGGGUAAAUUCAUAAGUUCACGGUAAACGCAAAAAGUGGUUCACGUUGUCUAUUGUCUAUGUAGGAUUCGUAUAGAUGCCUAUGUGGUAUAUUCUGUAUAAUAAUUUUGAAUUUUAUAAAAUAGAAUAAUUUCUUUUUAUGUUUAUUUUUUAUAUUUUUAGCUUAGUUAGUAAUUUUAAUUUUUUGUACAAUUGUAGCAAUUUUCUCUAAUAAUUGGGUAGACAGAUAAAUAUUAUAUCAUUCUAAUUGAAGAACAGGGUAGUCUGAAUCUCUGUUAUACUUAUUAAGUGUCAACAUGAUAAUAACAUAAGUAUGGGGUAUUUACUCCAUCUGCUCUUAAAAUGAUUUUUUAGCUAAUAUAUCAUGUUGUGCAGAUAUAAUGUCUAGGUGCCCAAGCAAAAGAUCAAACAUUGGACUACCUGAGGUUGCAUCUAAUAGCCCGCAAAGAUGAGGAUGUGAACAAUAUUCCCUCAGAUGAUGAAGAAUAUCUGCGCACAUUUGAAGAAGAACAUGCUUAGGUCAAUGGCCUUAGGGAGUAUUUUUUCGGAUCUAUUUUGUUUUUCUUUUGCAUUAGUGACAACGCAAAGUUUUGAGUGUGGGGUGACUUGCCCCUAUCGAAUGUACUUACAUUAAUGUUUUUCAUAAUUUAGUUGUUUGAUUUUGUUUAGAUAUUAAUUUGUAUUUGCUUUUUGUUUGGUAUAUUAUAGCAUUAGUAGGUAGUAAGUAGUACUAAUUGUGAUUCUAUUUUCUGUUAAGUAUCCAAGGAUUGAUGGAUUCAAG
rnacentral:lncRNA from 1 species